CCUACGGGAGGCAGCAGUCGAGAAUCUUCCGCAAUGGACGAAAGUCUGACGGAGCGACGCCGCGUGCGGGAUGAAGGCCCUUGGGUUGUAAACCGCUGUCAGAGGGGAUGAAAUCUUCGGAGGUACUCCUCCGAAGUUGACAGAGCCUCAAAGGAAGCACGGGCUAAGUACGUGCCAGCAGCCGCGGUAACACGUACUGUGCGAACGUUAUUCGGAAUCACUGGGCUUAAAGGGUGCGUAGGCGGCGAUUCAAGUCAGAUGUGAAAUGCCUGAGCUCAACUGAGGCAUUGCGUUUGAAACUGAAUUGCUAGAGUAUCCUAGGGGUGUGCGGAACUGCCAGUGGAACGGUGAAAUGUGUUGAUAUUGGCAGGAACACCGGAGGCGAAAGCGGCACACUGGGGGAUAACUGACGCUGAGGCACGAAAGCCAAGGGAGCGAACGGGAUUAGAUACCCCGGUAGUCUUGGCCGUAAACGAUGAGCACUGGCGGGUACGGGGUUCCGUUUCGUGUCGUAGCGAAGAGUAGUGCGCCGCCGUGGGAGUAGUGGUCGUCGAGCGUUGAAACGUUAAAGUUAGUUAAGUUAGUUACGGCGUUGAGACGUUGCCGACGGACGACGACGAGGGAGGAGG
rnacentral:rRNA from 1 species